CAGUGAAUAUUCUUGCUGUUCUGGUUUUAUAAUAAUCAGGGAAGGCUAAACAUUCACUACAUUAAGACCAUGCAUGUGUCCCCAGACCUAGUUCUGGGUUUAUAAAUGCUGGUGAUAAAC
ensembl:snoRNA SNORA72 Small nucleolar RNA SNORA72